CCUCGGGUGGCAGCAGUAGGGAAUUUUCGUCAAUGGGCGCAAGCCUGAACGAGCAAUGCCGCGUGAACGAGGAAGGUCUUCGGAUCGUAAAGUUCUGUUGAAGGGGAAAAAGAGCGGAGAGAGGAAAUGGUCUCCGAUUGAUAUUACCCUUCGAGGAAGUCACGGCUAACUACGUGCCAGCAGCCGCGGUAAUACGUAGGUGGCGAGCGUUAUCCGGAAUGAUUGGGCGUAAAGGGUGCGUAGGCGGCCUGCUAAGUCAGCGGUAAAAUCGCGGGGCUCAACCUCGCUCCGCCGUUGAAACUGGCGUUCUUGAGUGGGCGAGAAGUAUGCGGAAUGCGUGGUGUAGCGGUGAAAUGCAUAGAUAUCACGCAGAACUCCGAUUGCGAAGGCAGCAUACCGGCGCCCAACUGACGCUGAAGCACGAAAGCGUGGGUAUCGAACAGGAUUAGAUACCCUGGUAGUC
rnacentral:rRNA from 1 species